rnacentral:lncRNA from 1 species
CAUCAGUGGGCAUCAAGCAAUGAUGUGUUGGCCAGAGGCACGGUGAAGCUUCCUUCUCUGUUCCUCCCCUUCCACACCCAUAAGAGAUUGCGGGAUGGUCACAGGCAAAGACUGAGAUGUUGGCCAGUUGCACACAUGGUUGCUCCACUAAGGAGCACGUUUCCGCAAAGAAAUGUGGUCUGGUUGCACUCUUCAGCUUGACCUCUACAACCCCUUAUGUUCCUUUGGUUGGAAUUAUGAUCAGUGCUUCCAGACACCUCCCUCCUUUUCUCCCUGUCCCCACAGAGACUGACAGACUGUUACGUACAGUGUUUAUGUAAGCGUAGAUGGGAUUGCUGGAACAUGUUGGGAAGCAAGACUGGUUUUGCCUCAGCAAGUAGGGAUGUUUGUUGUGAGACCGUGGAAAAAACACAUGCAGUUUGGAAAAAGACAUUACAUCAGGUGCAAGAAAGGCCUAACGUGUGGAAGGCGUUGGAUUCUCAGACACGAGUCAGAUACUUGGAGAGAUGCAUUUCUUGGAAUUCACAGCCAAAAGAUUUAGUGGUAUUUGAAAGCAUACGUACAUACAGUGGAAGUAUUUACAACUGUGCUAUCAAAGACAAGAGCAUAAAAAAGCAAUUAGUCCUAUUGUAGGACAUUCCAGAGCAGUCUCAUCUGCCAGUCACUGAGCCUCAGUGGGAGGGGAGGAGUAGGAAGGGAGUACUGUCAGCAGGUGUCUUCUGUUCCAUAGAAGUUGAUCUGUGAGGUGUAUGAGUUUUCUUCACUUUUUUUUUUCACCCAGUCUGUCCAUCUUCCUAAAAUGCUGUACGGCCAAUUUUCCCUCUGGGCUGUUGCUGUCAGACUGCAUCUCAAUUCUGAGAACUGCUCCAGUCCUUCAGUCUGAUGUUGAUUUGUUGCUUCACCCAUGCUGUGGGUCUUACAGUAUGUAGCAACAGAAGGAUUGGGAGGUGGAGGUUGUGGAUUUAGUUUCCCCGUGGUGAAGCCAGUAGAACCAGCUUUGCGCGUAAGGAGUGGCUGCUUAGAGGGUUUCCAUUUCACUUCUGUGCUGAAAUAUUUUGAUUAAACAAUGCAAAACUAGCUGUGGCAGGCCUCUGUAGCUCAGGCACACGCUUGCUUUUGGCAUGUGUGCUCAGACAAGAGUCGCAGCGAUGGUCCCUCAAGAUACAAAAGAAGUGAGGCUGCUGUUUUCUGAGGACCAAUGUGUCCUGCAGCUUUUGUUCACGGCCAGUUGAGAUGCUACUGACAAUGGCUGCAGAGGCAGGAAGAGGAUUCCACAAACAUUCCAUUACUUUAUUUAGGAAUGGGAUGUUGUAAACGUGAGGCACCAGUACAGAACGUGUUGAGUGCUUCUUCUCAGCUUAUCCUUAAACCUGUGGGAUGCUCGCUGGGGAUCCUUGCAGAAUGAUGAGAAGGGGCUGGGAAGUGUAUAGAAGCCUCCCAUCUGUUUACGUGGAAUUGCCUGUCCCCAUCUCUUUACAGGGAAAACAUUUGGACACUCAGUGAGUGAGGAAGCGCUCAGAAAUAGUUUUGCCACUUUUAAUGAACUUUAAAACGUUGUUUGGUAAAGAGCAUCACAGAUGAUUUAAGUACAGUAAGCUGAAUGAGAACUCAUUUCUGAGUUUCUAUGGCAUCACUGUAAAAAAAAUACAUAAAUCUGUAACUUCCUAUUUUUACAGUUGUACUUUCGGUCCUUCUGCAACACUGAUAGACUUAGGAAGCAGAACCACUGAGCUCUACCUUAGUGUCUCAUGACUUUCCUGGGCUUGACGUGAUCCUAUUUUCCUUGUGCUUAUUUUCAUAUCCUCUAGAGGGAGAAGUAAGUUGCUCAGACUGUCGGAAGUCUGCUGAGAAUGAAUUAGUGUAUGAACAGUGCUAAUCAUGUUCCUGUAAAUUUUGGUGGAUCUGUUAUGUGGCACCUAUGCCUUUUAGUUCUGCUGAGUUUGUAGUUCCUGGGCAAAGUGUUAUGCUCUCAAAGGUGAUAGGGGCAUAAUUUGUUCUGGGCCGGGCAGGGCUCCAGCUGGUAUUAAUGAUGGAUUUAGGAUGAGAGUGCAGGCAGCACAUGACGAACACCAAGGAGACAUUUUUCCUGUGUGUAUGAAGACCUGUGGUGAGAAUCUAAAGCAUCCUAAGGAUACCACUCUGCAACUGUUCAAACUUGUGGGCAUAAACUACAAUCUUGUGUAAUGCAAUAGACAGUAACUGCUUUCCCACACAAACUAGCUGUAAGCACAAUUUGAGUAAUUGACAGCUGUUAUUUUUCUUUCCCUAUGAUUGUUUAUUUUCAAAGGGCAGAAAUAAGGACAAACUUGGCCUUUCUUCAUGGCAUGCAACAGCCCGCCUCUGAUCUCUGCAGCCCGUGUGUACCUGUAAGCUCUCCCAAGCAAGAAUGUGAACAUCAGACCUAGCCUACAGCACUGGAUUUAAGAUGCUCUCCAACCUACCCUGGAGAUCCAUGUCUGCUUCGGAGCUCAGCGGCCAUGAGUCUUGAACUGUGUUGAGCAGGAGUGGCUGCUGGCAGUGUUGCUUGGUGUUUGAUUUCUGUUGUGCGUUUUGGUUUUGGAUUGGUGGGCUUUAUUAAUUGCUUUGUUUUAAGAUAUCUGGUUAUAUGGGGCUGCAGCACAGCAGGAUGACAGAUGGGCUGUGACCCUUCUCCUGGUAUUAAUGCUGGGCCAAGGAAGCGAUGGGGAUGGAGAACAGAAAGCUGGACCUGUGGCUAGCUUCUGGAGGACACUUGAAGCCAAAGAAUUUACUUGGCAUUCCUUCUCUUAAGCCUUGCUUUUCACCUCCUUUUACCUAAUCCGACCCCUGCCUCUUGCAGCUUGACAUGAGCACCAUGCUUGAGGCAGAGAGAUGUUGCAG